rnacentral:rRNA from 1 species
GAUGAACGCUGGCGGCGUGCCUAAUACAUGCAAGUCGAGCGAACAGACGAGGAGCUUGCUCCUCUGACGUUAGCGGCGGACGGGUGAGUAACACGUGGAUAACCUACCUAUAAGACUGGGAUAACUUCGGGAAACCGGAGCUAAUACCGGAUAAUAUAUUGAACCGCAUGGUUCAAUAGCGAAAGACGGUUUUGCUGUCACUUAUAGAUGGAUUCGCGCCGCAUUAGCUAGUUGGUAAGGUAACGGCUUACCAAGGCAACGAUGCGUAGCCGACCUGAGAGGGUGAUCGGCCACACUGGAACUGAGACACGGUCCAGACUCCUACGGGAGGCAGCAGUAGGGAAUCUUCCGCAAUGGGCGAAAGCCUGACGGAGCAACGCCGCGUGAGUGAUGAAGGUCUUCGGAUCGUAAAACUCUGUUAUUAGGGAAGAACAAAUGUGUAAGUAACUAUGCACGUCUUGACGGUACCUAAUCAGAAAGCCACGGCUAACUACGUG